rnacentral:lncRNA from 1 species
UGUAAUUGUCUUAAGACAACCCCUAUAUUUCUCUAAUAAUUUCCUAUAGGAUCCAUACUAUUAAAAGAACAAACAUUAUUAGAAUCAUCAUAAUCAAAGCUCGUGAAGAGGUUAUAACUCUUGAAACAAUCUUUCCAUUGACUAUCUGAUGUGUCGGAAUUCGAUAAUUGCAGAUUUUUAAACAACAUUUGUUAGACUUAGUGUUCGUUUAUGUUGAAAUGCGGG